rnacentral:rRNA from 1 species
UAAGGAAUAUUGGUCAAUGGACGCAAGUCUGAACCAGCCAUGCCGCGUGAAGGAUUAAGGUCCUCUGGAUUGUAAACUUCUUUUAUUUGGGACGAAAAAGGGCUUUUCUAAGUCAACUGACGGUACCAGAUGAAUAAGCACCGGCUAACUCCGUGCCAGCAGCCGCGGUAAUACGGAGGGUGCAAGCGUUAUCCGGAUUCACUGGGUUUAAAGGGUGCGUAGGCGGGUAGGUAAGUCAGUGGUGAAAUCCUAGAGCUUAACUCUAGAACUGCCAUUGAUACUAUUUAUCUUGAAUAUGGUGGAGGUAAGCGGAAUAUGUCAUGUAGCGGUGAAAUGCUUAGAUAUGACAUAGAACACCUAUUGCGAAGGCAGCUUACUACGCCUAUAUUGACGCUGAGGC